rnacentral:rRNA from 1 species
UACGUAGGGUGCAAGCGUUAAUCGGAAUUACUGGGCGUAAAGCGUGCGCAGGCGGUUCUAUAAGACAGAUGUGAAAUCCCCGGGCCCAACCUGGGAACUGCAUUUGUGACUGUAGAGCUGGAGUACGGUAGAGGGGGAUGGAAUUCCGCGUGUAGCAGUGAAAUGCGUAGAUAUGCGGAGGAACACCGAUGGCGAAGGCAAUCCCCUGGACCUGUACUGACGCUCAUGCACGAAAGCGUGGGGAGCAAACAGG